rnacentral:rRNA from 1 species
AACAAACGCUGGCGGCGUGCAUAACACAUGCAAGUCUAACGGGAAUGUCGGCUUCGGCUGACUAGUACCGUGGCGAACGGGUGAGUAACACGUGGGUAAUCUAACCUCGAGUCUGGGAUAACCUUGCGAAAGCGGGGCUAAUACCGAAUAAGACCACGCUUGGUUCGCCAAGUGCGGUAAAAGGCGGCCUCUUCUUGAAAGCUGUCACUUGAGGAUGAGCCCGCGGCCUAUUAGCUAGUUGGUGGGGUAAUGGCCUACCAAGGCGACGAUGGGUAGCGGGCCUGAGAGGGUGUAGGGCCACACUGGCACUGAGAGACGGGCCAGACUCCUACGGGAGGCAGCAGUGGGGAAUUUUGCGCAAUGGGGGAAACCCUGACGCAGCAACGCCGCGUGAGGGAUGAAGGCCUUCGGGUCGUAAAGCUCUUUUAGUGGGGAAGAAGCGGUCGUGGCUAAUAUCCAUGGCUAAUGACGGUACCUGAAGAAUAAGCACCGGCUAACUACGUGCCAGCAGCCGCAGUAACAC